GACGAACGCUGGCGGCGUGCUUAACACAUGCAAGUCGAACGGAAAGGCCCGCAUCAUUUUGGUGGGGGUGCUCGAGUGGCGAACGGGUGAGUAACACGUGGGCGAUCUGCCCUGUACUUCGGGAUAAGCUUGGGAAACUGGGUCUAAUACCGGAUAGGACCAUGGUUUAGUGUCUCAUGGUGGAAAGAUUAUUGUUUUGGUGCAGGAUGAGCUCGCGGCCUAUCAGCUUGUUGGUGGGGUAAUGGCCUACCAAGGCGUCGACGGGUAGCCGGCCUGAGAGGGUGGACGGCCACAUUGGGACUGAGAUACGGCCCAGACUCCUACGGGAGGCACAGUGGGGAAUAUUGCACAAUGGGCGCAAGCCUGAUGCAGCGACGCCGCGUGGGGGAUGACGGCCUUCGGGUUGUAAACUCCUUUCGUUAGGGACGAAGCCGCACCUUUUUGGGUGUGUGACGUACCUUUGUUAAGAG
rnacentral:rRNA from 1 species